GCCAUCAUUUAAAGAAAGCGUAAUAGCUCACUGGUCGAGUCGGCCUGCGCGGAAGAUGUAACGGGGCUAAACCAUGCACCGAAGCUGCGGCAGCGACGCUGAUGCGUUGUUGGGUAGGGGAGCGUUCUGUAAGCCUGCGAAGGUGGCCUGUGAGGGUUGCUGGAGGUAUCAGAAGUGCGAAUGCUGACAUAAGUAACGAUAAAGCGGGUGAAAAGCCCGCUCGCCGGAAGACCAAGGGUUCCUGUCCAACGUUAAUCGGGGCAGGGUGAGUCGACCCCUAAGGCGAGGCCGAAAGGCGUAGUCGAUGGGAAACGGGUUAAUAUUCCCGUACUUGGUGUUACUGCGAAGGGGGGACGGAGAAGGCUAUGUUGGCCGGGCGACGGUUGUCCCGGUUUAAGCGUGUAGGUGUGUGUUCCAGGUAAAUCCGGUUCACUUUAACACUGAGGCGUGAUGACGAGGCACUACGGUGCUGAAGCAACAAAUGCCCUGCUUCCAGGAAAAGCCUCUAAGCAUCAGGUAACAUCAAAUCGUACCCCAAACCGACACAGGUGGUCAGGUAGAGAAUACCAAGGCGCUUGAGAGAACUCGGGUGAAGGAACUAGGCAAAAUGGUGCCGUAACUUCGGGAGAAGGCACGCUGACACGUAGGUGAAGUGAUUUACUCAUGGAGCUGAAGUCAGUCGAAGAUACCAGCUGGCUGCAACUGUUUAUUAAAAACACAGCACUGUGCAAACACGAAAGUGGACGUAUACGGUGUGACGCCUGCCCGGUGCCGGAAGGUUAAUUGAUGGGGUCAGCGCAAGCGAAGCUCCUGAUCGAAGCCCCGGUAAACGGCGGCCGUAACUAUAACGGUCCUAAGGUAGCGAAAUUCCUUGUCGGGUAAGUUCCGACCUGCACGAAUGGCGUAAUGAUGGCCAGGCUGUCUCCACCCGAGACUCAGUGAAAUUGAACUCGCUGUGAAGAUGCAGUGUACCCGCGGCAAGACGGAAAGACCCCGUGAACCUUUACUAUAGCUUGACACUGAACAUUGAGCCUUGAUGUGUAGGAUAGGUGGGAGGCUUUGAAGUGUGGACGCCAGUCUGCAUGGAGCCGACCUUGAAAUACCACCCUUUAAUGUUUGAUGUUCUAACGUGGACCCGUGAUCCGGGUUGCGGACAGUGUCUGGUGGGUAGUUUGACUGGGGCGGUCUCCUCCUAAAGAGUAACGGAGGAGCACGAAGGUUGGCUAAUCCUGGUCGGACAUCAGGAGGUUAGUGCAAUGGCAUAAGCCAGCUUGACUGCGAGCGUGACGGCGCGAGCAGGUGCGAAAGCAGGUCAUAGUGAUCCGGUGGUUCUGAAUGGAAGGGCCAUCGCUCAACGGAUAAAAGGUACUCCGGGGAUAACAGGCUGAUACCGCCCAAGAGUUCAUAUCGACGGCGGUGUUUGGCACCUCGAUGUCGGCUCAUCACAUCCUGGGGCUGAAGUAGGUCCCAAGGGUAUGGCUGUUCGCCAUUUAAAGUGGUACGCGAGCUGGGUUUAGAACGUCGUGAGACAGUUCGGUCCCUAUCUGCCGUGGGCGCUGGAGAACUGAGGGGGGCUGCUCCUAGUACGAGAGGACCGGAGUGGACGCAUCACUGGUGUUCGGGUUGUCAUGCCAAUGGCACUGCCCGGUAGCUAAAUGCGGAAGAGAUAAGUGCUGAAAGCAUCUAAGCACGAAACUUGCCCCGAGAUGAGUUCUCCCUGAGACUUUAGGUCUCCUGAAGGAACGUUGAAGACGACGACGUUGAUAGGCCGGGUGUGUAAGCGCAGCGAUGCGUUGAGCUAACCGGUACUAAUGAACCGUGAGGCUUAACCUU
rnacentral:rRNA from 1 species